rnacentral:rRNA from 1 species
UACGUAGGGGGCUAGCGUUAUCCGGAAUUACUGGGCGUAAAGGGUGCGUAGGUGGUUUCUUAAGUCAGAGGUGAAAGGCUACGGCUCAACUGUAGUAAGCCUUUGAAACUGGGAAACUUGAGUGCAGGAGAGGAGAGUGGAAUUCCUAGUGUAGCGGUGAAAUGCGUAGAUAUUAGGAGGAACACCAGUUGCGAAGGCGGCUCUCUGGACUGUAACUGACACUGAGGCACGAAAGCGUGGGGAGCAAACAGGAUUAGAUACCCUGGUAGUCCCUGA